rnacentral:tRNA from 1 species
CCCCCGUAAGGCAACGGGUUUUGGUCCCGUUACUCGGAGGUUCGAAUCCUUCCGUCCCAGA